GAUUACAUCCCAACCUUCUCUGUAAUCGCGGCUG
rfam:Proteiniphilum acetatigenes MPI_scaffold_12457, whole genome shotgun sequence.